rnacentral:rRNA from 1 species
GUUUGAUCCUGGCUCAGAACGAACGCUGGCGGCGUGCUUAACACAUGCAAGUUGAACGGUGCUACUUUGGGCAACUGAGGUAGUGAUCGUAGCGAACGGGUGAGUAACACGUGAGUAACCUGCCCUACAGUGGGGGACAAUCUCCGAAAGAGGUAAAUACCCCAUGACAUAGCUUUAUCACAUGGUUUAGCUAUCAAAGUUUUUCGCUGUGGGAUGGACUCGCGUCUGAUUAGGCAGUUGGCGGGGUAACGGCCCACCAAACCAACGAUCAGUAGCCGGCCUGAGAGGGUGAUCGGCCACACUGGGACUGAGAUACGGCCCAGACUCCUUCGGGAGGCAGCAGUGGGGAAUAUUGGGCAAUGGGCGCAAGCCUGACCCAGCAACGCCGCGUGGGGGACGAAGUACUUCGGUACGUAAACCCCUUUUGGGAGGGACGAACACAAUGACGGUACCUCCUGAAUAAGCCUCGGCCAACUCCGUGCCAGCAGCCGCGGUAAUACGGGGGAGGCUAGCGUUGUUCGGAAUUACUGGGCGUAAAGGGCAUGUAGGCGGGUUUCUAAGUCGCUCGUGCAACCUUCGGGCUUAACCCGGAGCCUGCGGGCGAUACUGGAAAUCUUGAGUAGGGGAGAGGAAAUCGGAAUACCCGGUGUAGCGGUGAAAUGCGUAGAUAUCGGGUAGAACACCAGUAGCGAAGGCGGAUUUCUGGACCCUAACUGACGCUGAGGUGCGAAAGCGUGGGUAGCAAACAGG